AAGGAAUUCGGCAAAUUAUAUAUUCACCUGUUUAUCAAAAACAUGUCUUUUUGUAUUUAAAGUCUAACCUGCCCACUGAUAGAUAUUAAAGGGCCGCAGUAUUUUGACUGUGUGAAGGUAGCAUAAUCAGUAGUCUUUUAAUUGAAGGCUUGUAUGAAUGGUUGAAUGAGAUAUAUACUGUCUU
rnacentral:ncRNA from 1 species